UACGGGGGGAGCAAGCGUUGUUCGGAUUUACUGGGCGUAAAGGGCGCGUAGGCGGCCACCGCAAGUCAGUUGUGAAAGCUCUGGGCUUAACCCAGAAAGGUCAGCUGAUACUACGGGGCUAGAGUGCAGAAGGGGCAACUGGAAUUCUCGGUGUAGCGGUGAAAUGCGUAGAUAUCGAGAGGAACACCUGCGGCGAAGGCGGGUUACUGGGCUGACACUGACGCUGAGGCGCGAAAGCUAGGGGAGCGAACGGG
rnacentral:rRNA from 1 species